GACAACACAACGGCCUUCCUCGCUGACUCCUCACAAAAAAAUAAAAAUAAAUAAUGCCACUUAUCUACUACUAACAUAGCACAUAGCAUAGUAGUAUAUUUGCAAUGUAUGGAGUCACACUUAUGGAAGAAGAAAAUGUGAUGUAUUUGCACAUUUAAGGUCAUAAGUAAAAAUGAAUAAAUCAUGGAAUAAUUUUUUUACUCUUUGUAUUCAUUUUCCAUCACAAGAAGUGUAAAUUCUAAACUUUCAAAUAUCUGCUUCAUUCAAGUUUAUUAUUUGGUAAAAUUUUACCAGAACAUUUAUAUAAUUUUUAUUGUAAUUGAACUAUUGUCAUACUUGUAUGACAGGUAAUAAUGUUCAAAUGUGUGUCUGUACAGGUAAUAAAUAUUUUAAGACAAUGCCUUGGGAUACCCCCUGGAAAAGCUGGAGAAGGAAGUCUGGGCUGGAUGGCAAUAUAUGCAAUACAAAACCAUUAUACCACCCUACAGCCACUCUGAAAUAGUGAACAUAUUCUUUGUUUCUAGAGCCCAUCAAUAGAACCGUGCAGACAUCUGCUCAAUGUGCUUAUUUAGGCAGUUAAAGUGAAAAGUGAAUUUCUAAUGAAAUAUACUUCUCACUGCAACCCCCCCCCCCCCCCCCCAAAAAAAAAUUAAAAAUAAAACUUGGCCGACUGGUUAGCACAUCUGCCUCACAGUUCUGGGGACUGCGGUUCAAAUCCCGGCCCCGCCUGUGUGGAGUUUGCAUGUUCUCCCCGUGCUUGCGUGGGUUUUCUCCGGGCAGUCCGGUUUCUUCCCACAUCCCCAAAACAUGCGUGGUAGGUUGAUUGAAGACUCUGAAUUGCCCAUAGGUCUGAAUGUGUGUGCGAAUGGUUGUUUGUUUCUAUGUACCCUGCGAUUGGCUGGCGACCAGUUCAGUGUGUACCCCGCCUCUCGCCUGAAGAUAGCUGGGAUAGGCUCCAGCAGCCUGUGACCCAAGUGAGGAUAAACGGUAAAGAAAAUGGAUGGAUGGAUGUUAUUUUCUGUUUACUGUUUACAGGCCCCUGAUUUCACCCUAUUUGGUUCCAAAGGUUCUUCCACUGUCCUUGACUAUAUAAUCCUUUGCGAGACAAGCCUCUCUUUGAUAAAACUUACUGCAACAAUGAGAACAUACCUGUUUCUGGCUUUGUAGCUCUGUGCCCUGCUGCCACUGUCAAAUCGCCAUUCUGUCAUGGUGCUCGAACCAGGUGAAAAAUAAAUAUUUGUUGUUCUCUGUUCGGCGGACAAAUGGUUGGAGCGUCCGCCUCACAGUUCUGAGGACCGGGGUUCAAUCCCCGGCCCCGCCUGUGUGGAGUUUCAUAUGGAAUUAAUUAUGUACCAAAGGAACUUCGUUUUUUGUUUUUUUUGGUGUUGUGUUGUGUGAUAAUAUUACUGCCAAAAAUACGGUAUAAUGUGUGAUGUUUUCUAGUAUUUAUUGACAUAAAGAGGUUGCGAUGACCUUUAUCCUAUUUAUUUCCAAAGGUUCUUCAACUGUCCUUCACUUUAAUCCUUUGAGACCCAGGCCUCUUUUCAGUUUGAUAAGACUUAUUGCAACAAUGGUAAGUUUAAGCUGUUUUUUUUUGUUUUAAUUUUUAUGUAGUAUACCUCACUUUGAAUGGCAAAAAUGCUAUGUUUGCUUCUGUAAAAAAAAACAAAAAAAAGAACUGAUUAUAAAUUGUUUUCCCAUGUCCUCAGAGAGCAUACCUGUCUCUGGCUUUGCUGUUAUGUGCAAUGCUAUACAGAAUGUAUAACAGGGUUGACCCAUCUAUUGAAUGUGAAGAUUUUUUUGCAGUUGGAAAGUGAUGGAGCAAUAACAUCCCUCACUGACCACUUGCGAAGAAACAAAGCUACUUAUUUAAUACAAUAUAGUUGUAGUGCACUUGCAAUGCAGGAGGUUAAGCUGAUGGAAGAAGAAAAUGUAAUGUAAUUAAACAUUUGAGAUCAAAUGUGACAAAUGAAUAAAAAAAAUCUGCAAUCCCA